rnacentral:rRNA from 1 species
UACGUAGGGGGCAAGCGUUGUCCGGAAUCAUUGGGCGUAAAGCGCGUGUAGGCGGCCAGGUAAGUCCGUUCUGAAAGCCCCGGGGCUCAACCCCGGGAGGCGGGUGGAUACUGUCAAGCUCGAGUCCGGAAGAGGAGUGUGGAAUUCCUGGUGUAGCGGUGAAAUGCGCAGAUAUCGGGAGGAACACCAGUGGCGAAGGCGGCACUCUGGGCCGGAACUGACGCUGAGGAGCGAAAGCGUGGGGAGCGAACAGG